rnacentral:misc_RNA from 1 species
CCCGCCAUGGCUGAUAUGCCCUUCUACGCCGCAGUCGUCGGCCAGCUCGUCACUGCAGGCCUGAGCACAGCAGGCACGCUCGACGUCGUUGCGGCCCUCUCUGUGGCGAUGCCCCCGCCCAUUCUCUUCACCAUCGCAUGCUCUGCUGGCCAGCACGCCGUCGCCACGGGCAGUCCCUUCCCCACUGGACCGCACACCACCAGCACCCUCCUACACGGCCUCCUCCCCGCCAUGGACCCCUUCUCGACGGUCGGUCUCCUCCCCGCCGUGGGCUCCCCCGCAGUCGGGGUUCCCGGUGCCUUCACUGCGCAACAGCAGUUGCAGCAGCACACCCGGUAUUCCCUGCCUACACCCCACUUUCGUCGCUCCAGUGUGGACUGACACCGUCGCAUCCUCGACGGCCCCUCCAUCUACAUCAUUUGCGCUCGUCGCGGCCAUCGCCAUCAUCCAGGCGGUCGUCGUCGCCUCCCAGGAGCGCGAACGAGCCAUGUCUCAUGGCCACUGCACAACGCCUCCUCCUCGACCAUUCACCGGUCACCCAUGAGGAUCCCCCGGUCGCUCCAAAGGCCCCCACGCCUCUGAACUCCACGCCAACACCAUCGCCGCCCUCCACGCUCAUGUUGCCAGGAUGCACAACAUUCGGUCCCUCAUGUCCGUUGUGCUGGACCCAGCGUCCUCCCACUAACCUCGUUGGCGGACUCAAGUGGUUCUCACGCUUCGUCAGUAUGCCCUCGCCGACCACGUCCUUGACGAUCUCGUCGCCCCGCUGUCUCCAUCGUGGUACCAGAUGGGCAGUGUGGUCCUCUUUUUGCUCAACGAUAUCAUCACCGUUGAGCUACAGGACAUCAUCCGCGACCAGGCGAAUACUGCUCGCCAGGUGUGGCUCGCUCUUGAGGGACAGUUCCUCAGGAACAGGGAGGCUUAGGCGUUCCACCUCGACGCUGUUUCACCAGUUCUCUCAAGGGGGAUCUCUCCGUGAGAGAAUACUGCCGCCAAAUGAAGGGCAUGGUGGACUCUCUUCGUGACCUCGGCGAGCCCAUCGUCGACUGUACCUUGGUGCUGAACCUUCUGCAUGGCCUCAUCCCCCGCUACGGCCACCGGAAGGCUCUCAUCAAGAGGAUUGUGCCCUUCCCCACCUUCCACGCCGUCCGCAACGAGCUUCUCCUCGAGGAGCUCACCAUGCAGACUAAGGCCCCUGCUCCAGCGUCGGCCCUCUAUAGUGCUCCACCCGGCGGUCAGGCACCCUCGGGGGGCUCGCUCUCCGUCGACUGGGGCUGCCACCCACACUCCACCUGCCGCCCCUAUGGCCCCUCAUUCGGCUUCCAACACCGACGGAGGUCGUCGUUCCCAC